CUUGGUCAUUUAGAGGAAGUAAAAGUCGUAACAAGGUUUCCGUAGGUGAACCUGCGGAAGGAUCAUUUGUGAGGGGUUAAUCCCUAAACAUAUCCAAUACAUUGUGAAUUGUGAUUGGCUUCGGCCACUACAAACUAUGUGUAAUGAAAGUAUCCUAUUGUAAUUUAUAAAACUUUCAACAACGGAUCUCUUGGCUCUCGCAUCGAUGAAGAACGCAGCGAAAUGCGAUAAGUAAUGUGAAUUGCAGAAUUCAGUGAAUCAUCGAAUCUUUGAACGCAACUUGCACCUUUUGGUAUUCCGAAAGGUAUGCCUGUUUGAGUGUCUGAAAUUAACCGUGUGUUUUGCACCGGAUUUGGGUAAUGCAAUUAGGUUGCUUGCCUUAAAUAGAUUAGUCGGAAUUUUCCCAAGUAACAAAGCGUAAUAAGUUUCGCUACGUGAAACGGAUUGAAGCUGGCUUCUAAUCGCCGUUUGGCAAUUUUUAGAUUUAGACCUCAAAUCAGGUAGGACUACCCGCUGAACUUAAGCAUAUCAAUAAGCGGAGGAGAAGAAACUAACAAGGAUUCCCCUAGUAACGGCGAGUGAAGCGGGAAAAGCUCAAAUUUGAAAUCGAAUAUCCUUCGGGUGUUCGAGUUGUAAUCUAGAGAAGUGUUUUCUGUGCUGGACUGUAUUCAAGUUCCUUGGAAUAGGAUAUCAAAGAGGGUGAGAAUCCCGUGCUUAAUACAAUCCCCAGUGCUCUGUGAUACACUUCCAAAGAGUCGAGUUGUUUGGGAAUGCAGCUCUAAAUGGGUGGUAAAUUCCAUCUAAAGCUAAAUAUUGGCGAGAGACCGAUAGCGAACAAGUACCGUGAGGGAAAGAUGAAAAGCACUUUGGAAAGAGAGUUAAAAGUGCGUGAAAUUGUUGAAAGGGAAACGAUUGAAGUCAGUCGUAUUGGAAAAGCUCAAUUAGCUUCUGCUAAUGUACUCUUUUCUAAUGGGUCAACAUCAGUUUGAAUAGGUGGAUAAGGAUAGUAGGAAACUCCUUGGAGUGUAAUCCCUGCUGUCGUAUACAUUUGUUUAGACUGAGGAACGCAGCUUGCCUUAUGGAUGGGGUUCGUCCCACACACAAGCUUAGGAUGUUGACAUAAUGGCUUUAAACGACCCGUCUUGAAACACGGACC
rnacentral:rRNA from 1 species